CCUACGGGAGGCAGCAGUGGGGAAUCUUGCGCAAUGGGCGAAAGCCUGACGCAGCCAUGCCGCGUGAAUGAUGAAGGUCUUAGGAUUGUAAAAUUCUUUCACCGGGGACGAUAAUGACGGUACCCGGAGAAGAAGCCCCGGCUAACUUCGUGCCAGCAGCCGCGGUAAUACGAAGGGGGCUAGCGUUGCUCGGAAUUACUGGGCGUAAAGGGAGCGUAGGCGGAUAGUUUAGUCAGAGGUGAAAGCCCAGGGCUCAACCUUGGAAUUGCCUUUGAUACUGGCUAUCUUGAGUACGGAAGAGGUAUGUGGAACUCCGAGUGUAGAGGUGAAAUUCGUAGAUAUUCGGAAGAACACCAGUGGCGAAGGCGACAUACUGGUCCGUUACUGACGCUGAGGCUCGAAAGCGUGGGGAGCAAACAGGAUUAGAUACCCUAGUAGUCCACGCUGUAAACGAUGAGUGCUAGUUGUCGGCAGGCAUGCCUGUCGGUGACGCAGCUACGCAUAAGACACUCCGCCGUCGGGUAGGUACGGUCGCGAGAGUUAAACGUACGUAAAGGUAAGUAGUUACGGCGUGAGACGUGCGACGGCGACGACGAGGGAGGAGG
rnacentral:rRNA from 1 species